rnacentral:rRNA from 1 species
GAACGCUAGCUACAGGCUUAACACAUGCAAGUCGAGGGCAGCGGGAUUGAAGCUUGCUUCAAUUGCCGGCGACCGGCGCACGGGUGAGUAACGCGUAUCCAACCUUCCGUACACUCAGGGAUAGCCUUUCGAAAGAAAGAUUAAUACCUGAUGGUAUGAUGAGAUUGCAUGAUAGCAUCAUUAAAGAUUUAUCGGUGUACGAUGGGGAUGCGUUCCAUUAGGUAGUAGGCGGGGUAACGGCCCACCUAGCCUACGAUGGAUAGGGGUUCUGAGAGGAAGGCCCCCCACAUUGGAACUGAGACACGGUCCAAACUCCCACGGGAGGCAGCAGUGAGGAAUAUUGGUCAAUGGACGAGAGUCUGAACCAGCCAAGUAGCGUGCAGGAUGACGGCCCUAUGGGUUGUAAACUGCUUUUAUAAGGGAAUAAAGUGAGUCUCGUGAGACUUUUUGCAUGUACCUUAUGAAUAAGGACCGGCUAAUUCCGUG